rnacentral:lncRNA from 1 species
AUGCCUACAUUCUGCAAAAUAUUCUUAUUUAGAAAAAAAAAAAAAAAAAAGAAGAAGAAGAAGAAAUUAUCAAUUCCCAACUUGACUCUCACUGGGAUUAAACAUGACAAUAGGUCUGAUCUGAUUUCAUCAUCAUUUAAAAAAUCAUCUAUUAUUUUUCACUUUAUGUUUCUGUGUGGUUGCAAACUCUUGAAAUCUUUACUUAAUGUAUGCUAAACUGAUCUUCUGUAUAUAAAGAGAAUCGAAAAUGAAAAAAAAAUAACUGAUUUUGCUCUCAAAUACACCCGGUGAUAUAAGUAAAAACAUAUUGGACUUAUUUUAGAGAAGAUGAACUGAUGUUGCAGAAAGAAUUAACUGGCUUAAUCAAAGUUAUAAUACAAGCUGAGGAUUGUGAUUCUACCUGUGGAUUCCCCUUCAAUAGCUUUUCCUGCUUUUCCAUACAAAUUCACCAUGGUAGAAAAAAUAAUUUUGCUUAUGAAAUAAUAAGUACUUUUUUAGCAAUGAAGUCUAAAAUAGCAUGAUAUCUACACUAACAUACACUUGUAUUGUCUAAGGCAGUAUUUAGGCCAACAUAGGAUCACAAAAAAAAUGUCAAUAUGUUUUUCAAAUUUCAGAGGAUGCUAUAUACCUAUGAAUUCCAAUCUUUUAGAUUGUGCAUUGAAUGUCAUAGAUGGAUAAGAAAUAGAAAUUAGAGCAAACACUUAUAUCACAGUUACCAUGACUAUAAUAUUGCUGCGGUUGAUCCUUUGAGUUAUAAAUUACUUAUCAUGUUUAAUUUUAUUCCUGAGGAAAUUGAAUUAUAGAGAUAUCGAUUUCCUCCAGAUGACGAAGUCAGUUAAUAUUUUCAGUAGCAAAUAACAGCAGAGGUGCUAUUCAAUUCUCAACAAAAACAGCUAGCCCAUAACUAGAUUUCAAUGUCUUUCAGAUAAUGGUGCUAGUAUUAGAAUGGCCUGGUUAUUCUAUGAAAAACAAUGGUAUUUUGAGAUAUUAAAACAUAGAAAUAUAUGCCAAAAUUCUUCCCUUUUAUUCUGCCUGUGGGCAAUUUAUAAAGAAUUAUAGGAUUAAAUACUUGACCUUUACAACAAAAUAUUUAGACAAAUUACUCAGCAGAUGGGUUUUUGUAAAAGUUACUAAGCAGGUGAGAGAGGUGUUACUUGUGAUCCUAAAAUAUUGUUGAAUUUAAAAAAAUAAUAAUUUGAUUCCAUACACAAGUGUA